rnacentral:rRNA from 1 species
GAUGAACGCUGGCGGCGUGCCUAAUACAUGCAAGUCGAGCGAACGGACGAGAAGCUUGCUUUUCUGAUGUUAGCGGCGGACGGGUGAGUAACACGUGGAUAACCUACCUAUAAGACUGGGAUAACUUCGGGAAACCGGAGCAAAUACCGGAUAAUAUCUUGAACCGCAUGGUUCAAAAGUGAAAGACGGUCUUGCUGUCACUUAUAGAUGGAUCCGCGCUGCAUUAGCUAGUUGGUAAGGUAACGGCUUACCAAGGCAACGAUGCAUAGCCGACCUGAUAGGGUGAUAGCCCACACUGGAAGUGAGACACGAUCCAGAGACCUAGGGGAGGCAGCAGUAGGUAAGCUUCGGCAAAGGGCGAAAGACUGAAGGAGCAACGGAAGGUGAAUGAUGAAGGGCUUCGGAUCGUAAAACGGUGUUAGGGGGGAAAACCGUAUGUGUAUGUAACUGUGCACGUGUUGACGGUACGUAUUAAGAAGGCCCCGGCUAACUCCGG